rnacentral:rRNA from 1 species
GUGGGGAAUAUUCCGCAAUGGACGAAAGUCUGACGGAGCAACGCCGCGUGAGUGAUGAAGGUUUUCGGACUGUAAAGCUCUGUUGUUUAGGACGAAAGUGCCUGUUGCGAACAGUUACAGGUAUUGACGGUACUAAACGAGGAAGCCACGGCUAACUACGUGCCAGCAGCCGCGGUAAUACGUAGGUGGCAAGCGUUGUCCGGAAUUAUUGGGCGUAAAGAGCAUGUAGGCGGGAAUCUAAGUCUGUUGUGAAAAUGCGGGGCUCAACCCCGUAUUGCGAUGGAAACUGGGUUUCUUGAGUGCAGGAGAGGAAAGGGGAAUUCCCAGUGUAGCGGUGAAAUGCGUAGAUAUUGGGAGGAACACCAGUGGCGAAGGCGCCUUUCUGGACUGUGUCUGACGCUGAGAUGCGAAAGCCAGGGUAGCGAACGGGAUUAGAUACCCUUGUAGUCC